UCUUAUGGAUGAACAAAAUAGAAAGUGGUUUCUUGAGAUGGAAUCUGCUCCUGGUGAAGAUGCUGUGAA
rnacentral:pre_miRNA from 1 species